GAUUUUUCUUUAAAUAAAACAGACAUUAAAAUCCUAAGAUUUCAUAUUUAUGCUGCUCUUACAACUUUCAAAUUUGUUCGCAACAUAUUUUAACUCCUAGCAUAAGACUGAAAAUAUACCAUUAUUGUCACAAUCAUAUUGUAAAUUACUAAUAAGUAUGUACACCUUGAGGUCUAUCAAACUUCUUAUAAGUGUAUGGGACACACUUUUAUUAUGAUUAUAUAUUUGUA